rfam:Pan troglodytes isolate Yerkes chimp pedigree #C0471 (Clint) chromosome 10, whole genome shotgun sequence.
GCUGGGCACGGUGGUGCGCACCUGUAGUUCCAGCUACUUGGGAGGCUGAGGUGGGGGGAUGGCUUGAGUUCAGGAGGUUGAGGCUGCAGUGAGCCAUGAUCAUACCACUGCACUCCAACCUGGGCAACACAGCAAGACCCUACCUCAA